rnacentral:tRNA from 1 species
GGGGAAGAGGGUUUGGUAGCGCACUACGUUCGGAACGUGGGCGGGCGCAGGUUCAAAUCCUGCCACUCCG